GAAUAUUGGACAAUGGGGGCAACCCUGAUCCAGCAACGCCGCGUGGAGGAUGAAGGCCUUCGGGUUGUAAACUCCUGUCAGGUGGAACGAAAAGCGCUGGCUAAUAACCAGUGCCUAUGACGGUACCACCAGAGGAAGCCCCGGCUAACUCCGUGCCAGCCGCCGCGGUAAUACGGAGGGGGCGAGCGUUAUUCGGAAUUAUUGGGCGUAAAGGGCGCGUAGGCGGCCUGGCAAGUCAGGGGUGAAAUCCCUCGGCUCAACCGAGGAACUGCCUCUGAAACUGCCUGGCUUGAGACCGGGAGAGGGUGGUGGAAUUCCCAGUGUAGCGGUGAAAUGCGUAGAUAUUGGGAGGAACACCAGUGGCGAAGGCGGCCACCUGGACCGGAUCUGACGCUGAGGCGCGAAAGUGUGGGGAGCAAACAGG
rnacentral:rRNA from 1 species